rnacentral:siRNA from 1 species
AGGCAGCGCCAACCGCCAUCACUC